UACGGGGGGAGCAAGCGUUGUUCGGAUUUACUGGGCGUAAAGGGCGCGUAGGCGGCCACCGCAAGUCAGUUGUGAAAUCUCUGGGCUUAACCCAGAAAGGUCAACUGAUACUGCGGGGCUAGAGUGCAGAAGGGGCAACUGGAAUUCUCGGUGUAGCGGUGAAAAUGCGUAGAUAUCGAGAGGAACACCUGCGGCGAAGGCGGGUUGCUGGGCUGACACUACGUGAAGCGCGAAAGCUAGGGGAGCGAACGGG
rnacentral:rRNA from 1 species